rnacentral:rRNA from 1 species
AUGAACGCUGGCGGCGUGCCUAAUACAUGCAAGUCGAGCGAACAGAUGAGGAGCUUGCUCCUCUGACGUUAGCGGCGGACGGGUGAGUAACACGUGGAUAACCUACCUAUAAGACUGGGAUAACUUCGGGAAACCGGAGCUAAUACCGGAUAAUAUAUUGAACCGCAUGGUUCAAUAGUGAAAGACGGUUUUGCUGUCACUUAUAGAUGGAUCCGCGCCGCAUUCGCUAGUUGGUAAGGUAACGGCUUACCAAGGCAACGAUGCGUAGCCGACCUGAGAGGGUGAUCGGCCACACUGGAACUGAGACACGGUCCAGACUCCUACGGGAGGCAGCAGUAGGGAAUCUUCCGCAAUGGGCGAAAGCCUGACGGAGCAACGCCGCGUGAGUGAUGAAGGUCUUCGGAUCGUAAAACUCUGUUAUUAGGGAAGAACAAAUGUGUAAGUAACUAUGCACGUCUUGACGGUACCUAAUCAGAAAGCCACGGCUAACUACGUG